CCUACGGGUGGCAGCAGUGGGGGAUAUUGCACAAUGGGGGAAACCCUGAUGCAGCGACGCCGCGUGUGGGAAGACGGUCUUCUGGAUUGUAAACCACUGUCCCCAGGGACGAAAAUGACGGUACCUGGGGAGGAAGCUCCGGCUAACUACGUGCCAGCAGCCGCGGUAACACGUAGGGAGCAAGCGUUGUCCGGAAUUACUGGGUGUAAAGGGAGCGUAGGCGGGGAUGCAAGUUGGGUGUCAAAACUACCGGCUCAACCGAUAGUCGCACUCAAAACUGCAACUCUUGAGUGAAGUAGAGGCAGGCGGAAUUCCUAGUGUAGCGGUGAAAUGCGUAGAUAUUAGGAGGAACACCAGUGGCGAAGGCGGCCUGCUGGGCUUUUACUGACGCUGAGGCUCGAAAGUGUGGGGAGCAAACAGGAUUAGAUACCCUUGUAGUC
rnacentral:rRNA from 1 species